rnacentral:rRNA from 1 species
AUGGGGCACGACUCCGGUCUGAAGCGCCAGUCCCAUUCCAGGCUCAGGCCAGUUCCUGAGCUCCCGCAAACACCUUGCCGUCCUCACGGAGAAAAUGACAGAAGAUACAGCCAGCUGAAAUGCUCGGACGGCGGCGACUCAGGGGAGCUCCGCCUGGGAGUGGGCGGCCACAUACCCAAUUUCCACUGCAAGAGCCUGCCCACCAGAAGCCGGCUGACCAAUGCGGAGGAAAUCGCCGUCGCCAAGCGCGGCUCCAUGUACCAGAGCUCCAGCGAGAUCACCAGGAUAAGGAGGCUCCAGGAGGAGGGCAGGAGGAAGAUCGACUCCGCGCCCAGCGGGGACGAGUUCCUCUCCUUCGACAUUGUCGACGACGGCGAGGCCUCCUCCCGGCCGAGCACCAGCGGGAGCGGGGCGCAGUACCUCUUCUCCCACCGCAGCCGGCGGUCGGAGGCCGCCAAGUCCUCCGUGGAGACCCGGAGGGUGAACCGGGCGUCCACCAAGGACUUUCUCGACUUGUCCUUUCGUGAGCUGCCCGAUGAAGAUUUUAAGCUUGGCCGGCCGCGGAUGGACUGCACCCUGCUGAAGAGCGAUGAUGCCGCUGAUGGUUUCUUGGAGAUAACCAUUGAGGAAGAGGAGUCCACAGCAAGAGCCCCCUGCAGAAAUGCAGCUCCCCAUUUGCUGGAUGGAGAGUCUGCUAGAGGUGCAGAAGCAGAUCGUCAGCUCAACUCCGGUGUAUGUCCUGGUGAAAGUAACCACCAUGGUGAGAAGCAGAGGGUUCCAGCAAGUAAUAUUCCUGAUAAGUCUGUGCCAGCAAAGGGGGAGAGCGCCCCUGAUGACACCAGUCCAUCAGAAUGUGUCAAUCGCAGCACGGAGAACAUCGCUAAAUCUGCUCGAUCAAGUCCUUUCAAGAAGAUGCUGAGCCCGAUCAUGAAGUCCAAGUCUGUUAGAAGCAGCCCAACUCUUGUUGACAAGGAAGACCCCAACUCUGCUGCUGUGCCGGCAAGCGGCAAAACCUGCGUCCGCAAAUCGUUGCUCAGUGAUCUCUCAAGGACUGAGCGGAGCCAAGGAUCGCCCAAUUGCCAGCCAAACGGAGAAAGUCGGCAUAUGACGGAGGCUUCUUUGUCACCUGCUCAUCUUCGAGCAGUUCUUAAAAUUGAUUCCAGAAAUGGUAUUCCCUUUUAUGACUUCUGUGUCGAGGGCCCGGAAGAAUCCAUUUCUGCUAGGUCCUGGGAGAGUGGGAGUGAACUGAGCCGGAUUUACACUUUCCAUAGCGGUGGCAAACGAGGAAGCACUGCUGGGAGGUCAUCCAAAGACGAACGCAGAUGCUUGCCUCCAACUGUAGGCCAGAUGCACGCUUCGUCCUAUCUUUGCUCUGAAGUUGGAAAAGAUGGUGUUCUGAAUAAUUCUGUCAACACCGAGUUUGUUCUGUACGAUACCGCUCACGCAAGACGAAGUUUUGCUGCCGAGGAGAAGACCCAGAGUACAGAGCCCAGUCAGCCGAAAUCCUGCGUUGAUAAAUCGGUCUCUGGUGAAUAUCCACAGAAGAUUAAUCUGAUUGACCAUCAACAUGAUGCAAGGAAUAAUCCAGAGGUAUCGACAUCUCGUCCAUGGUCUGAAGAGGAUCUUUAUCCUCAUUUGGAGAUUGCAGCAACAGUCAUUCAGAUUCCAUUUAAUAAGGACAAGAAGUGUUCGUCCGCUGGUUCUAUCAAAGUGGUCACCCCGAGUGGGCUGCAUGGAUUACCAGACGACAAUGAAGUCAGCCCAUCAUCCUUGCUAGACAGAUGGAGGUAUGGUGGAGGGUGUGAUUGUGGCGGAUGGGACAUGGCCUGUCCACUCCUCGUCCUCGAGAAUGCUGCUUAUGAUGAUAACUGGGUUGAUUCUGUGACGAAGGAAAGCAAACACCCCAUGGAGCUCCUUGUUCAGGGUAGCAAAGAAGAGAUCCCUGCCCUUUCCAUGAAAGCCGACGGGAAAGGGCAGCUGUUGGUGGAUUUCCAUGCGCGGCUAUCAGCGUUACAGGCAUUCUCAGUGUGCAUCUCUCUGCUGCACUGCUCAGAGGCUUCGACGGCCGUCGUCAUCGAGAAGGGCAAGCACAAGCUCUACUCCAGCUCCCUCAAGAUGCUCCUUGAGGGGGAGGUGAUGCAGCUGAUCGAGGCUGUCACGGCAGAGGAGAAGAAGAAACUGAAGUCGACGAAGCGGGAGAAGGCGCCUCCGUCUGUCGUGUUCGACCCGCGGCGCCCGCCCUUCUCCCCCCUGGGAAGAGUAUAG